rnacentral:sRNA from 1 species
ACGGGAUUUAACCUAGACUCGAACUCGGCUAGAAAGAAAGUUCUUUGUUUUCACAUUUCGUUGGAUUACUUGUAACUCCCCCGUCCUGUGGUACGCAAUAGCAAUUUUAUUUUUUCCACGCUAUAAGCGCCGAUUAGGCGAAGAUUUACUCAAAAAUUAGAUAUUAGGAAAUAGACAUGUCUAACAAAGCGACUGGUACAGUUAAGUGGUUCAACGAAACUAAAGGCUUCGGCUUCAUUCAACAAGAGAACGGUCCAGACGUUUUCGCUCACUUCUCUGCAAUCCAAGGUGACGGUUUCCGUACACUUGUUGAAGGCCAGAAGGUAGAGUUCGAAAUCACUCAAGGUCAAAAAGGUCCACAAGCUGAGAAAAUCACUCUAGUUUAAGCCUUACAGAUUCUGAUAUGUAGCCAGCAUUUUGCUGGCUAUUUUUU